AGCGAACGCUGGCGGCAUGCCUAACACAUGCAAGUCGAACGAGACCUUCGGGUCUAGUGGCGCACGGGUGCGUAACGCGUGGGAACCUGCCCUUAGGUUCGGAAUAACUCCCCGAAAGGGGUGCUAAUACCGGAUAAUGUCUUCGGACCAAAGAUUUAUCGCCUUUGGAUGGGCCCGCGCUGGAUUAGCUAGUUGGUAGGGUAAAAGCCUACCAAGGCGACGAUCCAUAGCUGGUCUGAGAGGAUGAUCAGCCACACUGGGACUGAGACACGGCCCAGACUCCUACGGGAGGCAGCAGUGGGGAAUAUUGGACAAUGGGCGAAAGCCUGAUCCAGCAAUGCCGCGUGAGUGAUGAAGGCCUUAGGGUUGUAAAGCUCUUUUACCCGGGAUGAUAAUGACAGUACCGGGAGAAUAAGCUCCGGCUAACUCCGUG
rnacentral:rRNA from 1 species